UAAAGAAUUAUCGCUGAUAGAUGGGCAUGCGUUCCAUUAGAUAGUUGGUGAGGUAACGGCUCACCAAGUCCACGAUGGAUAGGGGUUCUGAGAGGAAGGUCCCCCACACUGGUACUGAGACACGGACCAGACUCCUACGGGAGGCAGCAGUGAGGAAUAUUGGUCAAUGGGCGAGAGCCUGAACCAGCCAAGUCGCGUGAAGGAUGAAGGAUCUAUGGUUUGUAAACUUCUUUUAUAUGGGAAUAAAGUGAGGAACGUGUUCCUUUUUGUAUGUACCAUAUGAAUAAGCAUCGGCUAACUCCGUGCCAGCAGCCGCGGUAAUACGGAGGAUGCGAGCGUUAUCCGGAUUUAUUGGGUUUAAAGGGUGCGUAGGUGGUUAAUUAAGUCAGCGGUGAAAGUUUGUGGCUCAACCAUAAAAUUGCCGUUGAAACUGGUUGACUUGAGUAUAUUUGAGGUAGGCGGAAUGCGUGGUGUAGCGGUGAAAUGCAUAGAUAUCACGCAGAACUCCGAUUGCGAAGGCAGCUUACUAAACUAUAACUGACACUGAAGCACGAAAGCGUGGGGAUCAAACAGGAUUAGAUACCCUGGUAGUCCACGCAGUAAACGAUGAUUACUAGCUGUUUGCGAUACACAGUAAGCGGC
rnacentral:rRNA from 1 species